rnacentral:rRNA from 1 species
CUGGCGGCGUGCCUAACACAUGCAAGUCGAACGGAGUUAAUGAUUUCGGUUGUUAACUUAGUGGCGAACGGGUGAGUAACGCGUGAACAACCUGACCCAAAGAGGGGGAUAACAUUUGGAAACAGAUGCUAAUACCGCAUAAGACCACAACGUCACAUGGCGAAGGGGUCAAAGGAGCAAUCCGCUUUGGGAGGGGUUCGCGUCCCAUUAGGUAGAUGGCGGGGUAACGGCCCACCAUGCCAACGAUGGGUAGCCGAGCUGAGAGGCUGAUCGGCCACACUGGAACUGAGACACGGUCCAGACUCCUACGGGAGGCAGCAGUGGGGAAUAUUGGGCAAUGGGCGCAAGCCCUGACCCAGCAACGCCGCGUGAGGGAAGAAGGUUUUCGGAUUGUAAACCUCUGUCGCAGAAGACGAAGGAAGUGACGGUAUUCUGUGAGGAAGCCCCGGCUAACUACGUGCCAGCAGCCGC